CCUACGGGUGGCAGCAGUGAGGAAUAUUGGUCAAUGGACGAGAGUCUGAACCAGCCAAGUAGCGUGAAGGAUGACUGCCCUAUGGGUUGUAAACUUCUUUUAUAUGGGAAUAAAAUGUUCCACGUGUGGGAUUUUGUAUGUACCAUAUGAAUAAGGAUCGGCUAACUCCGUGCCAGCAGCCGCGGUAAUACGGAGGAUCCGAGCGUUAUCCGGAUUUAUUGGGUUUAAAGGGAGCGUAGGUGGAUUGUUAAGUCAGUUGUGAAAGUUUGCGGCUCAACCGUAAAAUUGCAGUUGAAACUGGCAGUCUUGAGUACAGUAGAGGUGGGCGGAAUUCGUGGUGUAGCGGUGAAAUGCUUAGAUAUCACGAAGAAUUCCGAUUGCGAAGGCAGUUCACUGGACUGCAACUGACACUGAGGCUCGAAAGUGUGGGUAUCAAACAGGAAUAGAGACCCGAGUAGUC
rnacentral:rRNA from 1 species